rnacentral:rRNA from 1 species
GACGAACGCUGGCGGCGUGCCUAAUACAUGCAAGUUGAGCGCUGAAGGUUGGUACUUGUACCAACUGGAUGAGCAGCGAACGGGUGAGUAACGCGUGGGGAAUCUGCCUUUGAGCGGGGGACAACAUUUGGAAACGAAUGCUAAUACCGCAUAAAAACUUUAAACACAAGUUUUAAGUUUGAAAGAUGCAAUUGCAUCACUCAAAGAUGAUCCCGCGUUGUAUUAGCUAGUUGGUGAGGUAAGGGCUCACCAAGGCGAUGAUACAUAGCCGACCUGAGAGGGUGAUCGGCCACAUUGGGACUGAGACACGGCCCAAACUCCUACGGGAGGCAGCAGUAGGGAAUCUUCGGCAAUGGACGAAAGUCUGACCGAGCAACGCCGCGUGAGUGAAGAAGGUUUUCGGAUCGUAAAACUCUGUUGGUAGAGAAGAACGUUGGUGAGAGUGGAAAGCUCAUCAAGUGACGGUAACUACCCAGAAAGGGACGGCUAGCUACGUG